GUCCUUUAGAAUUAAUUAUUUAAGGUCUAACCUGCCCACUGAAAAAUUUUAAAUGGCCGCAGUAAAUUGACUGUGCAAAGGUAGCAUAAUCAUUAGUUUUUUAAUUAAAAGCUUGUAUGAAUGGUUUGACGAAAUAAAAUCUGUCUCUAAAUAAUAAUAAGAAUUUAAUUUUUAAGUCAAAAAGCUUAAAUUUUAGUAAAAGACGAGAAGACCCUAUAGAUCUUUAUAUUAAAAUUAAUAAUUUUAUUUAGGAUUUUUUAUUUUUAUUAUUAUUUUUAUUAUUAUAUUGGGGUAAUAGGAAGAUUUAUUAAAUUCUUUUUAAUUUAUUACAAUAAUAAUUGUUUAUUUGAUCCUUAAUUUAAGAUAAUAAGAUUAAGUUACCUUAGGGAUAACAGCGUAAUUUUUUUAGAGAGUUCUUAUCGAUAAGAAAGUUUGCGACCUCGAUGUUGGAUUAAAAAUUAUUCUAGGUGUAGAAGUUUAGAAAUUUUGGUCUGUUCGACCAUUAAAUUUUU
rnacentral:rRNA from 1 species